rnacentral:lncRNA from 1 species
UCAAAGCUAAAGGGAUUUCCACCAACCAAAAGCUCUCUAGAGUGAUUACACGAAAAAGAAGGAAGAAGUGCAUUGAAGUCGACUCUCCAACUGUCUUCCUCACAUUCAAGGCUCUCCUCCUGACAGCAAGUCUACAUCAAAUUCAAGAGGAGUCAAAGAGUUUGAAAAGCCCCUUCCUCCAUCUCCAAAAUCAGUUUGAGGGCUUCUUACUCUUCCUUGCUUAAAUUGUUUAAAUACGCUUUUGAGAAGCUUCCUUUUUGUUUGUGUCAAACUAUUUGUUACUUACUUGAUUCAAUCAGGGGAUUGAAUCAAGGGUGUUAAGGUUUGUUGGUGAGCCAAGGUUAAAACCAACGUUGUAAGGGUU